GGGGUUGUAGCUCAGUGGUAGAGCGUUCGCUUUGCAUGCGAAAGGCCCUGGUUUCAAUCACCAGCUGCUCCA
rnacentral:tRNA from 1 species